rnacentral:lncRNA from 1 species
UAAGAGGUAGCAAUUACACUGAAGUUUGGUUGCUUGGGAUUGAUCCUACAUGGGCGGUAAAAGGUUCCACCUGAAUCAUCAACCCCCAGGAUCAAACCAUAUAUGAAGAAAGUACACAACAACAGAGACCUAUUCUCUCAAACUCAACGCAAGAACACAGACGAACAUUCAACCCAACCGCAAUUUUCUUCUCCUUACAACUCAUAGUCUCAUAUAAUCCAGUCUAAUUUCCCUCUUGACCGAUUGGGUAUGCAUUUUCUCAAUCGUUUAACAUCAAACAUCUCGAGGCCACAUUUCAAUAACAUGUGCGUCACAACAUAAACAAAAAAUCAGAAUCUUACCCAACCCAUAACCCGGUGAUCUCAUCUCCAACCCAUGAAAUUCAAUACGGAAACCAAUCUUGAGAUGGGAUAUCACCCAAGUCUCAAUGGCAUCGGACUUCAAUGAAGGAAAAUCAUAGGCUCCCCGGACUCGAUUUCCACUGGAACCCAAAAGCGGAAAGCUUACGUAGAAUCAAUUGUGGUGGAUAAAAAGAAACGAAGAACACUCACUGUGUAGACGAUUCUUACCAGAUCGAGUCAUUGAUUUCUCAUAGAGAAGGGAUGAUUCCAGUUUCCAGUUUCC